GACGAACGCUGGCGGCUUGCCUAAUACAUGCAAGUUGAGCGAUGAAGAUUGGUGCUUGCACCCAUUUGAAGAGCAGCGAACGGGUGAGUAACGCGUGGGGAAUCUGCCUUUGAGCGGGGGACAACAUUUGGAAACGAAUGCUAAUACCGCAUAAUAACUUUAAACAUAAGUUUUAAGUUUGAAAGAUGCAAUUGCAUCACUCAAAGAUGAUCCCGCGUUGUAUUAGCUAGUUGGUGAGGUAAAGGCUCACCAAGGCGAUGAUACAUAGCCGACCUGAGAGGGGGAUCGGCCAAAUUGGGACUGGGACCAGGCCCAAAACCCUACGGGAGGCAGCAGGAGGGAAUCUUCGGGAAUGGACGAAAGGCUGAACGAGCAACGCCGCGUGAGGGAAGAAGGUUGUCGGAUCGGAAAACUCUGUUGGUAGAGAAGAACGUUGGUGAGAGUGGAAAGCUCAUCAAGUGACGGUAACUACCCAGAAAGGGACGGCUAACUACGUG
rnacentral:rRNA from 1 species